AUAUCUUUCUGUACGGGAAGGAUGAGAAGCUUCGACUAAGGUUCGAUUCGAGCGCAGCGAGAAAGCGUUGCCGCAGGCAACGACCCGAAGGGCGAAGCGCGCAGC
rnacentral:sRNA from 1 species